rnacentral:rRNA from 1 species
AUUGAACGCUGGCGGCAGGCCUAACACAUGCAAGUCGAGCGGAUGAAGGGAGCUUGCUCCUGGAUUCAGCGGCGGACGGGUGAGUAAUGCCUAGGAAUCUGCCUGGUAGUGGGGGAUAACGUCCGGAAACGGGCGCUAAUACCGCAUACGUCCUGAGGGAGAAAGUGGGGGAUCUUCGGACCUCACGCUAUCAGAUGAGCCUAGGUCGGAUUAGCUAGUUGGUGGGGUAAAGGCCUACCAAGGCGACGAUCCGUAACUGGUCUGAGAGGAUGAUCAGUCACAAUGGAACUGAGACAAGGUCCAGACUCCUACGGGAGGCAGCAGUGGGGAAUAUUGGACAAUGGGCGAAAGCCUGAUCCAGCCAUGCCGCGUGUGUGAAGAAGGUCUUCGGAUUGUAAAGCACUUUAAGUUGGGAGGAAGGGCAGUAAGUUAAUACCUUGCUGUUUUGACGUUACCAAAAGAAUAAGCACCGGCUAACUUCGUG